rnacentral:rRNA from 1 species
AGAAUCAACGCUGGCGGCGUGCCUAACACAUGCAAGUCGAACGAGAAAGUGGAGCAAUCCAUGAGUAAAGUGGCGCACGGGUGAGUAACACGUGACUAACCUACCCUUGAGUGGGGGAUAACCUAGAGAAAUCUGGGCUAAUACCGCAUAAUACCUUCGGGUCAAAGGAGCAAUUCGCUUAAGGAGGGGGUCGCGGCCGAUUAGUUAGUUGGCGGGGUAAUGGCCCACCAAGGCAGUGAUCUGUA